rnacentral:rRNA from 1 species
CCUACGGGAGGCAGCAGUGAGGAAUAUUGGGCAAUGGCCGGAAGGCUGAACCAGCCAUGCCGCGUGAAGGUCAGUGCUCUAUGGGCGGUAAACUUCUUUUGUGCGGGAGCAAUAAUGGUUACGUGUGGCCAGACGAAAGUACCGUACGAAUAAGAAUCGGCUAACUCCGUGCCAGCAGCCGCGGUAAUACGGAGGAUGCAAGCGUUAUCCGGAUUUAGUGGGUGUAAAGGGUGCGUAGGCUGUGAGGUAAGUCAGCGGUGAAAUGCCCGCGCUCAACGGGGUGAAGUGCCAUUGAUACUGCCUUGCUGGAAUGCGGAUGCCGUAGGAGGAAUGUAGGGUGUAGCGGUGAAAUGCA